rnacentral:rRNA from 1 species
UCGAGCGAGAACGGGGAGCAAUCCCUUAGUAAAGCGGCACACGGGUCAGUAAUGCGUGGAUAACUUGCCCUCGAGACUGGGAUAACGGCGGGAAACUGCCGCUAAUACCGGAUGGCCUCGCGAACCGGCAUCGGAUUGCGAGUAAACGGUGGGGACCGAAAGGCCUGCUGCUCGAGGAGAGGUUCACGACCUAUCAGCUAGUUGGUGAGGUAACGGCUCACCAAGGCGACGACGGGUAGGCGGGCUGAGAGGCUGACCGCCGACACUGGGACUGAGAACUGCCCAGACUCCUACGGGAGGCUGCAGUCGAGAAUCUUCCGCAAUGGACGCAAGUCUGACGGAGCGACGCCGCGUGUGGGAUGAAGGUCUUUGGAUUGUAAACCACUGUCACGCGUUAUGAAUGCGCGGCAGUUAACACCUGCUGCGUUGACAAAGGCGCGAGAGGAAGCCACGGCUAACUCUGUGCCAGCAGCCGCGGUAAUACAGAGGUGGCAAGCGUUG